UCUUUCCAGAACCGCCGUCAUAUCAUUGACUUGUUUGUAUUCUGAUUUCCAUGAGCGCACCUCAUCACUACAAAAUGGCGCAGUACAGAAACCAGGACCAGAGGACUCAGCUGGAAACUAAGUGGAGAUAGACUUGGGACAAAGAUAAGGAGACACUUCUUCACACAGAAUGGAGGCCUAGGUUCAAAUCUGGCCAGUUUAAUGAGCUUGUAGCCCUCAACUACCCAGUGGACAUUAAAACCACCACACAAUGUUCAGGCCAGUAUUGAGUUGGGUUCACUUGCAAUAAGGGCUUGAGCUAUAAGGGGAAACAUUGUAAUUCACCUUUGACAGCAACCAAAUUGACAAUUUAUAAAAAGAUCUAUUGUCAGGGGUGAAAUUCUCAACCAUAAAAUAAGAAAAAAUGGAAACAAUUUGAGUGCCUACUUCUAAAAUGUAUAGCUAUCUGUGAUAGAGCACAAUCCCCUGUAUGUAUGUAAUGAAUUGUUAUAUUGUUGUUCUUCCAGUUUGGCAGGGAUAGGGUUAAUACUAUCCCUGCCAAAUACACGUGCAGACUGUGGCUGGGACUUAACUGAUUCAUUAACAAUCAAUUAAGCCCAGCCACAGGUGUAUAAAAGGAGCAGUCUCUCCACUUGCGAAGUUGACGAACCCAGGGCAAGGAACAGAGCACAGUAGCCAAACCCAAACCGAAAAGGAAAGUCUACAAUUCUCCUUUAUAUCUCCCUGGAAUGAAAGCAGGUAACAUAUGUAUCAUAACAUAUUACAUGUUUUUGCACUGUACAAGCUGAACGGCAGGGCUGUAUUUGUAUGAAGCCAAUGUUUUAUAAACCUCUGAUUUGCUCUGAAUUGGCAUUUCAUGGGAGUUGCAUUAAAUACUGUAAAAGUGUGGGAGCAACAUCCAUUUUAGGGGUGGGCCUUCCCCUUUAAAUUGGUUAGAUAAUGCAAGUACCUGACAAGCACGUAAGCCACACCCCUGCCUGUAUGCAUUGGAAGAGGCCAUUGGGGGGCAUAGCUACGAAUGAGAACAGAAAUAUCAAUGGGAGCAUAGCUACCAAUGGGAACAGAGAUAUCAAUGGGAGCAUAGCUACCAAUGGGAACAGAGAUAUCAAUGAGAACAGAGCUAUCGAUGAGAACAGAGCUACCGAUGGGAACAGUCACACUGGCUGCUGCACAAAGCGAACAAAUUUGGGAAUUACUAUUAUUGUUUUAUUUUUAUUUUUGAUCGCCGGCCAGUUUGAUUUGGAACUUAUCAGCAAGGUGCAGGAGUGUGUAUAUGUCAUGUGACAAUGGACAAGAAGUGAAUUAUUGGUGAGUUUAGUAUGACCCUCAAUUGAAUGUAAAUUACAUGCUUCACUCGCCACGUGUCUAGUGUGAGUGUGGUUUAGUCUCUCCCAUUUGUAUGGACACAUUCAUUAUUUUUAAACAUCUACAAUUUUGUUUCAUUUAUAUAAAUCAUUGGGACCAGCAGCAGUGUAUUUUAAACAGCUCUAGUUUAUGUGAGAAAGGGCUGUACAUAACAAAUGUGAAUUAAGAGUGCAGCAACUUGGAACAAGAUCAAUGAAAUAGCCUGCCGGAUACAAUAUGGUAAGGGCAUCAAACUGGGACAAUAAGGUCAAAGCCGCCAAUUUUACCAGCAUGAAGUUUAUUAUUAUUAUUUAUUUAGCAGACGCCCUUAUCCAGGGCGACUUACAAUUGUUACAAGAUAUCACAUUAUACAGAUAUCACAUUAUUUUUACAUACAAUUACCCAUUUAUACAGUUGGGUUUUUACUGGAGCAAUCUAGGUAAAGUACCUUGCUCAAGGGUACAACAGCAGUGUCCCCCACUGGGGAUUGAACCCACAACCCUCCGGUCAAGAGUCCAGUGCCCUAACCACUACUCCACACUGCUGCCCUUGUUUACCCACAUCUACAAAGUGACUGCCUUUAAAGGAGUAAUAAUCAAGGCUUAAAAAACAACUCACCUUUCGGUAGCAUAACUACUUACUCAUAAGCCUCUUCUUGUUUUGCCAUUGAUCUUUUGCAGACUUUAUUUUCAGCCCAUUUUAACCUGCUACACACUGUACUGUCGAUCUGAAGUAGUGAUGGGCACCAAUAUCGAUAUUUUGAUAUGAUAUCGAUAAUAAUUUCCAUAUCGCAAAAUUGUGGGAUUUAAAAAAGAUAUAUAUUGUACAGAAAGCUUUCAGAGAUGUUUAUUGCUAACACUGCCGAAAUACAAACGCUGUAUAAUGUUAACAAUAAACUCUAUACAUACCAAUCACUGUCAGUCUCGUAGACAAAAACACCACACACUAAAGUAUUAUUUAACCAUUUUAUUCCAUUGAUUGGUGUAUAGGUACCAAGCGCUAUUUGUAUGAUGCAUUAAGUUGGGCACUACUGGCCGUCCGUAAAGUGUUGCCACAUUAUUUUGAGAUAUCCGCAUGCAUCAGCGUUUCGUUGACUUUUGUCUGCGUGAUUACUUACACUAUUAUUAAUUGAUUGAUUGCCUUGGUUUUAAUGUAAACUUUUGGUAUUAUAAACGAGAUGUACUUUUUAGACAGCAAAAC